CUUGGGAUUCUCUCUCUCUCUCUCUCUCUCUCUCAAAAUAAAUAAACUUAAAAAAUAAAAGAAUGACUCCUCGCUUAUAGGUUGGAGGAAAUGGUGGUGCUCAUUUCUGGGGUAGGAAGGACGGGGGUGCCAAGAGUUUCUAGAGGGCAUAGGAUGUCCAAGAUGGCUGGGAGACCACCAGAUAGAAGAAAGGUCAGCUACACCAUGGACACCCAAGCGUGGGGUACUGGGAUGACUGCAGGGCUGGGGGGAGACGUAUGAGGGUCAGCACCAGAUGGGCGGCAUAGAGAGCCUCCAGACUGGUAGGGUUGCUGAGGAAGAGGAGUAGCUGGGGAAGGGGGGCCCGAGGAGCCAGCCCGCCAGGUCGUGCCACACUUGGGGCCGGGCAGGGGGAGGAGGAGGCGGCGAAGGUGGCUGUAAGCUGCUGGGGAGAUUGUCCUCGAGUAGGAAAGUCAGAAUCGAAGGCAACCCAGAGUCCUCUGUGACUGCACAUCCGGGGCUGAUGCACGGAGGCGCCUGGCAUUUGAGGAGGCAACAGACCAUCUGGGCGUCAUUCUCAUUAACCUUGGGGGUUGGGAACUCCCAGCCCCCCUUGCAGCCCACCUGUGGCCCACCCACCCCUCACCAGGCCCCCUGGGUGUCCCCUGUUCGUUCCUCUCCUCCUCCCUGCAGGCAUACCUACUGGCCUCCCCUGUGCGCCUUGUCUCCUCCAGCCGACCCCGUGCCUGCCCUGUUGUGCGGUCCGUGUCUAUGCAGCUGGAGCCCCGGCGGCCCGGAGCUGGGGAUGUGUGUUACUCGUCCUUGCUUUCCCAGUGUGGAGCCUGGAACACGGAUCUCUGGAGAGAUUAGGGGUAAUCUAAAAAUCACGUUUUCAUUAACGUUCCUGAUUCUGCACCCUGACCAUGUGUUAUCUGUGUGACCCAACAGCUCCACUCCCAGUAUUCAGCCAGAGAAGCCAACGCUCCUGUCCACACAGAAGAUUGCCCCUGGGUGUUCAUAUGGGCUUUCUCCAUAGUGGCUGCAAGUGGAAACCACCCAAAUGCCCACCAACAGAUGGGCUGUUAGCCAAGUCACGGCAUGUCCGAGCAAUGGACUUAGCGAUAAAGAACGACCCAUACGGCAACCCGGAGCAGCCUCAAAAGCAUCACGUGAAAUUCUAGAUCAGGCAAAACUAAUUUAUGGUGACAGGAAACAGAUCCUCGGUUGCUCGCCAAGGUGGGGAGGGGGCCGACUCCGGGGGCUGGGGGCACAUUCUGUGUCGUGAUUGUGAUGGUUGGUCCCAGGGUGUAUAUGUAUAUGUUUGUCUGAAUGCAUUAAUAACUGCCUGCCUCAGAUGGA